GACGAACGCUGGCGGCGUGCUUAACACAUGCAAGUCGAGCGAUGAAACACCUUCGGGUGCGGAUUAGCGGCGAACGGGUGAGGAACACGUGAGGAAUCUGCCUUCCACUCUGGGAUAACUCCGGGAAACCGGGGCUAAUACCGGAUACUUUCAACUGGCGGCAUCGCCGGUUGAAGAAAGUUUUUCGGUGGAAGAUGACCUCGCGGCCUAUCAGCUUGAUGGUGAGGUAAAGGCUCACCAAGGCGACGACGGGUAGCCGGCCUGAGAGGGCGACCGGCCACACUGGGACUGAGACACGGCCCAGACUCCUACGGGAGGCAGCAGUGGGGAAUAUUGCACAAUGGGCGCAAGCCUGAUGCAGCAACGCCGCGUGAGGGAUGACGGCCUUCGGGUUGUAAACCUCUUUUAGUAGGGAAGAGGCGAAAGUGACGGUACCUGCAGAAAAAGCACCGGCUAACUCUGUGCCAGCCGCCGCGGUAA
rnacentral:rRNA from 1 species